rnacentral:rRNA from 1 species
AACGAACGCUGGCGGCGUGGAUAAGACAUGCAAGUCGAACGCUUAUCCUUGUGUAGCAAUACAUGAGGGUAGGAGUGGCGCAAGGGUGCGUAACACGUGGGUAAUUUGCCGUGAAGUCCGGGAUAACUUGCUGAAAGGCGAGCUAAUACCGGAUGUGGAAAUUGGAAGGCAUCUUUUGAUUUCUGAAGUUGGGGACCGCAAGGCCUGACGCUUUACGAUAAGCCCGCGGCCUANCAGCUAGUUGGUGAGGUAACGGCUCACCAAGGCUAAGACGGGUAGCUGGUCUGAGAGGACGACCAGCCACACUGGAACUGAGACACGGUCCAGACACCUACGGGUGCAGCAGUCGAGAAUUUUUCNCAAUGGGCGCAAGCCUGAAGGAGCGACGCCGCGUGUGGGAUGAAGGGUUUCGAUCCGUAAACCACUGUCAUUUGCGAACAAACCCUGAGGUUUAAGAGAUAUCAGGCUGAUUGUAGCGAAAGAGGAA